rnacentral:rRNA from 1 species
UACAGAGGUCUCAAGCGUUGUUCGGAUUCAUUGGGCGUAAAGGGUGCGUAGGCGGCGCGGUAAGUCGGGUGUGAAAUCUCGGAGCUUAACUCCGAAACUGCAUUCGAUACUGCCGUGCUUGAGGACUGGAGAGGAGACUGGAAUUUACGGUGUAGCGGUGAAAUGCGUAGAUAUCGAGAGGAACACCAGUGGCGAAGGCGAGUCUCUGGACGACUCCUGACACUGAGGCACGAAAGCCAGGGGAGCAAACAGG